CCUACGGGCGGCAGCAGUGAGGAAUAUUGGUCAAUGGGCGCGAGCCUGAACCAGCCAAGUAGCGUGAAGGAUGACUGCCCUACGGGUUUUAAACUUCUUUUAUAAAGGGAUAAACGGAGGCACGUGUGCCUUUUUGUAUGUACUUUACGAAUAAGGAUCGGCUAACUCCGUGCCAGCAGCCGCGGUAAUACGGAGGAUGCGAGCGUUAUCCGGAUUUAUUUGGUUUAAAGGGAGCGUAGAUGGGUUGUUAAGUCAGUUGUGAAAGUUUGAGGCUCAACCGUAAAAUUGCAAUUGAUACUGGCAGUCUUGAGUACAGUUGAGGUAGGCGGAAUUCGUGGUGUAGCGGUGAAAUGCGUAGAGAUCACGAAGAACACCGAUUGCGAAGGCAGCCUACUAAACUAAGACUGACACUGAGGCUCGAAAGCGUGGGUAGCAAACAGGAUUAGAUACCCCGGUAGUC
rnacentral:rRNA from 1 species